UACGUAGGGGGCAAGCGUUAUCCGGAUUUACUGGGUGUAAAGGGAGCGCAGACGGAAGAACAAGUCUGACGUGAAAUGUCGGGGCUCAACCCCGAAGCUGCAUUGGAAACUGUUUUUCUAGAGUGCAGGAGAGGUAAGCGGAAUUCCUAGUGUAGCGGUGAAAUGCGUAGAUAUUAGGAGGAACACCGGUGGCGAAGGCGGCUUACUGGACUGUAACUGACGUUGAGGCUCGAAAGCGUGGGGAGCAAAC
rnacentral:rRNA from 1 species